CGGGGUGCAGCAGGCGCGAAAACUUUACAAUGCCGGCAACGGCGAUAAGGGGACCUCGAGUGCCAGGUUACAAAUCUGGCUGUCGUGAUGCCUAAAAAGCAUUGCAUAGCAAGGGCCGGGCAAGACCGGUGCCAGCCGCCGCGGUAACACCGGCGGCUCGAGUGGUAACCGUUAUUAUUGGGUCUAAAGGGUCUGUAGCCGGCCGGAUAAGUCUCUUGGGAAAUCUGGCAGCUUAACUGUCAGGCUUUCAGGAGAUACUGUCUGGCUCGAGGCCGGGAGAGGUGAGAGGUACUUCAGGGGUAGGGGUGAAAUCUUGUAAUCCUUGAAGGACCACCAGUGGCGAAGGCGUCUCACCAGAACGGACCUGACGGCAAGGGACGAAAGCUAGGGGCACGAACCGGAUUAGAUACCCGGGUAGUCCUAGCCGUAAACGAUACUCGCUAGGUGUCGGCCACGGUGCGACCGUGGUCGGUGCCGUAGGGAAGCCGUGAAGCGAGCCACCUGGGAAGUACGGCCGCAAGGCUGAAACUUAAAGGAAUUGGCGGGGGAGCACAAGGGCGAUUCGCGG
rnacentral:rRNA from 1 species